rnacentral:rRNA from 1 species
GAUAACGCUGGCGGCGUGCCUAACACAUGCAAGUCGAACGCGCCCGCAGGGGCAACUCUGUGGGUGAGUGGCGGACGGGUGAGUAACACGUGGGUUAUCUACCUUGAGGUGAGGAAUACCGGCGAGAAAUCGCCGACAAUACCGCAUAGGUUCGGAACCUUCCGAACAAAGUCCCUUUGGGACGUCUCAAGAUGAGCCUGCGUCCGAUUAGCUUCGUUGGUGGGGUAAAAGCCUACCAAGGCGACGAUCGGUAGCUGGUCUGAGAGGACGAUCAGCCACACUGGGAUUGAGAACGGCCCAGACUCCUACGGGGGGCAGCAGUGAGGAAUUUUCGUCAAUGGGGGCAACCCUGAACGAGCAACGCCGCGUGCAGGAAGAAGGUUUUCGGAUCGUAAACUGCUUUUCUUGGGGAAGAGAAGGGACGGUACCCAAGGAAGAAGCCCCGGCUAACUACGUGCCAGCAGCCGCGGUAAUACGUAGGGGGCAAGCGUUGUCCGGAUUUAUUGGGCGUAAAGCGCACGCAGGCGGUCUUUCACGUUUUGAGUGACAGGUGGUGGCUUAACUGCCACAGGCCUCAAAAUACGGGAAGACUUGAGGGCUUGAGAGGGAUACGGAAUUCCAGGUGGAGCGGUGAAAUGCGUAGAGAUCUGGAAGAACACCAAAGGCGAAGGCAGUAUCCUGGCAAGUCACUGACGCUCAGGUGCGAAAGCUAGGGGAGCGAACGGGAUUAGAUACCCCGGUAGUCCUAGCCGUAAACGAUGACCACUAGACGUGGGGGGUAUCGACCCCUUCCGUGUCGCAGCUAACGCAUGAAGUGGUCCGCCUGGGGAGUACGGUCGCAAGAUUGAAACUCAAAGAAAUUGACGGGGGCCUGCACAAGCGGUGGAGCAUGUGGUUUAGUUCGAAGCAACGCGCAGAACCUUACCAGCGUUUGACAUGGUAGGACGGUUUCCAGAGAUGGAUUCCUUCCCUUACGGGACCUACACACAGGUGCUGCAUGGCUGUCGUCAGCUCGUGUCGUGAGAUGUUGGGUUAAGUCCCGCAACGAGCGCAACCCUCGUCUUUAGUUGCUACCAUUUAGUUGGGCACUCUAAAGAAACUGCCGGUGAUAAGCCGGAGGAAGGUGGGGAUGACGUCAAGUCCUCAUGGCCCUUACGCGCUGGGCUACACACGUGCUACAAUGGCGGUGACAGUGGGCAGCAAACUCGCGAGAGUGAGCAAAUCCCAAAAAACCGUCUCGGUUCGGAUUGUUCUCUGCAACUCGAGAGCAUGAAGGCGGAAUCGCUAGUAAUCGCGGAUCAGCAUGCCG